UGCAAAUGGAUGCCACGACAAAUCUGCUCCUGUGGAUAUUGUGACAAAUCACCGUCAAGUACGUUUCAAAUCGAUUAUAAACUGUUAAAUAUAUAUACCGUUAAUUUCGUUAACUUGAAUUCCACGUUUAUUCAACAAAUACGAACUGUAAUUGUUUAUUUCUAUGAAUUGACCUGAGAAUUCUACUUUCGUUUUUGACUUGAUUAUAUUAUUGCAUUGAACAUUCAUAUAUUUCUUUCGUACAUAUUGUAAAAUAUUGUAUUUUUAUUUCUUUCAGUUUACCAAACAAUACACACUCUGUAAAACUCCUGUAUCAUUUCUGGUGGAAUUAUAAUCUACAAUCUUCACACACAAGUUGUUAUUCUUUAUAAUUUGCCGAGAUUGCGAUACAGUCCCAUGGUUAUACUAGCUGAGUCAGGCUCAGCAUAGUAAAUUGACGACAACCUGUCUUUACAUAUCCAGACAAGGAACGACAACGUAGCAACGUACAUACCUUUACACUGACAGUGGACUACAUAUCUUGUGUAUACUCGACAGCAACCUAACAACGUUGAGUCAACAUGGAUCCCAGUCAUGAGGAACAACAAGAAGAGAUUCAGCCCCAAGAAGGAGAUGUCCCUGAAAUAUUAGAAAAUCCGUCUAAUACAUCACAGUCAGAUGAAAAUCCCGAGGCUAGGCGAGUACGUGACCUCACGGAAAAAGGACAAGGAGCUUUCACUGAAAAACGUGACAAGUUCUGUCAGGAACUAGAGGCUCUCUGGACAGACAUUGAAUCCCAGUUAUUGGAAGUAACAACGCCUCCUAACGAGCUCCAGCAACUCCUUAACAGUCCAGGACAAACUUGUUAAAGCCUGUAAUAAUUAUCGUAGGCUCACAGAUGAAUACCUAGACUUUCUGAAAAGGACCAGAACAUUGGAGAGUCAAAAAGAAAUUGAUGCAUGUAAACUCUCUUUUGGAUUUUCGUCUGUCCAAAGUGGAACUGGUCAUGGAAAAACUACACGAGCAUCGCCUCGCUCUAACAAAGGCCAAAUCCACUAAAACAAAGACCUCAAAGGGUAAGAAAACCUCACACAGUGGUAGCUCUAACGUGUCAGACAUGUCAAGCCUAGCACGGAGAAAGCGUGCCAAGGCAGAGGCUGCCAAAGUCUAAAAUAGCCUUUGUAGAAAAACAUGCCAUUAUCCUACAACAGGAAGCAAUGUUAGAGGAACAAGCCCUGUUCAGACAAAUUGAAAUGGAACAGGAAGCAGCACACAAAAAGGCUGAAAUGGAACAGGAAGCACACUAAAAGGCAGAAAUGGAAGCAAGAAGUCGCAACAAAGCAAGAACAGGAGGCCGCAAGAGAACAGCUGAGAGAACAGAGGCUGCUCACAGAAAAGUGCAAUUAGAACAAGAGGCUAUGCGCAGGAAGGCUCAAAUGCAACAAGAAGCCGCACGAGUAAGCCGGAAAAGCCGAGCUUAAAGCCAAAUUUAACCUUCUUGAAGCACACAGAGAGAAGCUGCAGCCGCAGAAGCCGAGGCUCGUAUCCUGGAAUACGACGAUAGCCAAGCGUUUAGCGAUCUCCCUGACGAAAAGGAAGACCCGCUCCAGCGUGUGCAAGAUUUCGUCAAUAAACUUCCUGUAUCAACUGUUGUAAAGGAAGUAACAGGACCUCAAAAGAAAAAACAAAUUCCUGUUAAGAUGAAGCUGAGUCACGAAGCACCAGCGUUCGUGCCAUCCGUGGCACUGAACUUGCUGUCACAGACAUCUGCUGUCUUGCCUUCCGAUACUAAGUCACCGGAAGUUACCUUUAUCCCAGAUCUGGGAUUAGUAACCGGCAUACAAAAACUAGGGGUUUUUUUCAGAAAGAUCCCUGUCUUACACCAAAAACAAGGCGUUUAUAGAAGAGAUCCCUGUUGCACACCAGCAACAAAUCAACCCAACAUCGGAGAUUAACUAGAUUUCCUCUUGCGUAAGGACCUGCUUUUCUCCCGAUUAACAAGCUUUAACGAUCGGGCAGAAUCCUUCCAUACUUGGAAAGCAAGCUUCAAAAAACGUGACUGAUGAGUUACAAGUCUCUGACUCAGAACAGAUCGAUUUACUGAUCAAGUGGCUCGGUCCAGAGUCUGCUAAACACGCCAUUAGCAUAAGAGCGUCGAACGCCAAUAAUCCUACAAUAGGUAUACAAAGAUUAUGGAAGAGGCUUGACGAGCGGUAUGGUGCUCCAGAAAUGUUGGAAGCCUCUCUCAGAGUAAACUUGACAAAAUUCCCAACCUUGACGAAUAAGGACAACGCACGUCUCUACGAACUGUCUGACAUUCUAUCAGAAAUAGAAUAUCACAAGGAAAAUCCCAAGCUGGGAUGUUUGCUAGCAUAUUUUGACUCACUCGUCCGGGAUAAAACCCUGUCAUUGAAAAAAAUACCGUACGGACUUCCAAGAAAAGUGGACCACAAGGGCGUACUAAGAUACAAAUCUAAAUAUGGCGUUGCCUUUCCUCCUUUUACAGAAUUCUCUGCCUUCAUCAGGGAAAUCAGCAGAAUUAAAGAACGAUCCUGGAUUCAUCUUUGGGUCAAAAGUCCACACCAAAUACAAAAGGUGCUGCGCCAAGGUUCACGUCUUACCCUAAGACUAAAGUUGGUGCUCAUAAAACAGCAGUUGAGCAGCAAUCUGGAGACGCCAGCAAACAAGGUCUUUGUAUUCUGCACAAUACAAAGCAUUCCUUAAAUGAAUGUCGAGCGUUCCGAGCCAAGUCAAUAGAGGAGCGCAAAGGUCUUUUGAAAGAAAACAAUGUAUGUUACAAGUGUUGUGAUUCUACCACACACAGAAGCCGGGAAUGCAAUGCACGCAUAAGUUGUAAAGAAUGUGGAAGUAAACAACACACUACCGCACUUCACAUCACUAGACCACAGCAACCUGCAAGUUCUCAGUCUAGCUCGCCUAAGCAAGCCUACGGCGGGGAGCCUAUAGAAUCGGCUGAAACUAAGGCAACCUCAGUUAACUCUACCUGUACUGAGAUCUGCAAAGAUACAUAUAGCGGGAAAUCUUGUGCUAAAAUACUUCCUGUGAAUGUUUAUCACAAAGAUAACCAGUACAAAGUUAUUCGCAUGUACGCCAUCAUUGAUGACCAAAGCAACCGGUCACUAGCAUCGCCCGAAUUCUUUAAUCUUUUCGACGUCAAAGAUAAACCGGAGAACUAUACUUUAUCAACAUGCUCCGGCAAAGUAGUCACUUCCGGCAAAAGAGGAAGAGGUUUCGUCAUGGAAUCAAUCAAUGGUAAUGACAAGUUUGACCUUCCUGUACUGAUUGAAUGUGAUCAUAUUCCCAAUAAUAGGGACGAAAUACCUACUCCUGAAGUAACAAUGCAUCACCCUCAUUUAAAAGAACUUAGAGGUAGCAUUCCACCAAUAGAGGAAAAUUGCCAAAUUCUUCUCUUAAUUGGCAGAGACCUUAUAGAGGCACACCAUGUCCUCGAUCCAGCGCAUAGGACCACCCAGAACUCCAUAUGCACAACAAUUGAAACUUGGUUGGGUAGUGAUAGGAGAAACCUGCAUUAACAAGCAGCAUGUUCCUCUUGAGUUAAAUGUCAAAAUAACCAACAUUUUACCUACAGGACAACCUUCAACCUUUCAACCAUGCACAAGCAAGUUUGACAUCCGGGAAAACUACACAGACCCUGUAACGAAAGACCUUACAAUCGCCACUCUUUGAAAAAACAAGGGACGAUGAUAAGCCUGGACAGUCAUAUGAGGACAAAAUGUUCAUGAAGCAGAUGGACAACGAAUUUGUAAGAGACUCGGAAGGAAGUUGGGUAGCACCGUUGCCGUUCCGAGUGCCAAGACAGCCAUUGCCAAGCAACAGACAACAAGCUCUUCAUCGUGCUAAUAUGUUAGACAUCCAGUUUGAAUAGAAACCCAGUUAAGCGGGAACACUUUCUUACAUUUAUGAGUAAGAUCCUAGACAAUAAUCAUGCAGAGCUCGCUCCACCAUUGCACGAACAUGAGGAGUGCUGGUAUUUGCCAUUGUUUGGUGUUUAUCAUCCGAAGAAACCCGAUCAGAUAAGAGGUGUGUUUGAUUCUUCCGCCAAAUGUAACGGAGUUUCACUUAACAGCGUCCUGCUUACAGGUCCAGACUUGACCAAUGAUCUCUUGGGAGUACUGCUGCGUUUCAGGAAAGAAAUGGUCGCAGUAACUGCAGACGUUCAACACAUGUUUCACUGCUUUGUUGUCAGAAAAGACCACCGUAAAUUACCUGAGAUUUUUAUGGCAUAAAGACAAUGACCUACAGGAGAACCUUGUCGAAUACCGCAUGAGAGUUCAUGUUUUCGGAAAUAGUCCGUCACCUGCUGUUGCUACGCUUGGACUCAGAAAAGCAGCUCAAGCAUCAGAACAAGAGUUUGGCAGUCACGUGACUAGCUUUGUUACAAGAGACUUCUAUGUCGACGACGGUCUUACGUCAUGUCCUACUAAAGAGGAAGCUGUUAAGCUCAUGAAGGACACACAGCAAGCAUUAGCAAAAUAUGGAAACUUACGCCUUCACAAGUUUGCCUCUAAUUGUGCGGAAGUUAUGUCUGCAUUUCAUGCCAGUGAUUUGGCUUCAAAUCUUAAAGAUCUAGACUUAGAAUGCGACAGCAAACCCCUACAACGUAGUCUUGGUCUCAGCUGGGACGUAAACACUGAUAACUUUUUAUUUCAAUUAUCAUCAGAAAACAAACCGAUCACUCGGAGAGGAAUUUUAUCAACGAUAAACAGUCUCUACGAUCCUCUGGGAUUUUUGGCUCCGGUGAUUAUACAAGGGAAACUCCUAUUGAGGAAAAUAGUAUCAGAAACCGUCGAUUGGGACCAACCUCUCACUGAUGAGACAGCAGAUGAGUGGAAAUCUUGGAGAGAUACUCUAAUUGCUAUCGAAACAUUGCGCAUUCCACGUACCUACGUGCCGUAUCUCAGCAAAACCGCCACAAAGGAGUUACAUGUCUUCUCUGAUGCAUCAGAAAAAGCCAUAGCAGCUGUUGCAUAUCUACGCACGACCGACAGUAGUGGUGAACCAAACAUAGGAUUCAUUCUUGGGAAAGCUAAAGUUGCACCAACAAGUGGUCAUACUAUUCCACGCCUUGAACUAUCUGCUGCAGUAUUAGCAGUCGAGAUAACACAGACCAUCAUGGAUAAUUUAGAUUUACAUAUAGACACCGUAAAAUUCUACACAGACAGUAAAGUAGUCCUAGGCUACAUCAAGUAACGAGACAAGAAGGUUCUUCAUCUAUGUCGCCAAUCGAGUAGAGAAAAUAAGAAAAUUUAGCUCUCCAAGUCAAUGGAAUUAUGUACCAACUAACCGUAAUCCCGCAGACUCGGGAACAAGGUCCGUACCAAGCCCAUGAAAUUCACAGCAGCGAAUGGUUAUUAGGACCAAAACAACUUCUUUCCUCAGAACAGAAGAAUUCUGAGGAUACAUAUACCAGCUAAUAGAUCCAGAAGAAGAUGGAGAAAUCCGUGCAACUGUUAAUGUUGCAAAAACAUUUUCCACACCUGAGCAUAAAGGUAUCGGAACUGAUAGAUUCAAUCGAUUCUCCAACUGGACAUCACUUGUGCGAGCGAUAGCCUUUUUGGAACGUUUCUCUCCGUUUACACGGGUCAAAACAGGCAUCAUCAGUGACUUCUCUGGAUAGUUUUUCGAAUGCCGAAAAUUUCAUCUUAAUAUCUGCACAACAUGAAGUUUAUGGAGAUGAAAUAGAUUGUAUAAAACGUCAGGAACAAAUUCAAUAAGCGGAGCCCGAUAGCUAACCUCAAUCCGUUUUUGGACGAACGAGGACUAUUACGAGUAGGAGGCCGUAUUGUAAAAUUGGACUUAAACCUCCGUGAAAAGAAACCAUUGAUCGUCCCUGGACGCCAUCAUAUAGCGACAUUAUUAGUUCGACACUACCACAACAAGAUAAAACAUCAAGGUCGCCAUUUCACAGAUGGAGCGAUUCGAUCCGCAGGAUUUUGGAUCGUAGGAGCAAAACGCUUAAUCUCAUCUAUUAUUCACAAAUGUGUGACAUGCCGCAAACUCAGAGGAAAAACUGAGUAUCAAAUCAUGUCUGAUUUGCCAGAGGACCGUCUUGAACCUUCACCUCCGUUUACUAACGUUGGAAUAGACACCUUUGGACCCUGGACAAUUGUUUCACGUAAAACACGUGGUGGAUACGCCAACUCAAAACGUUGGGCAAUUUUAUUCACAUGCUUAGUGACAAGAGCUAUUCACAUCGAAUUAAUCGAGGAAAUGAGUUCUUCAGCCUUCAUAAACGCCGUCAGGAGAUUCGCCGCUAUAAGAGGCCAAGUUAAAGAUUUUCCGAUCUGACCGUGGAACAAACUUUAUUGGAGCAAUCGACGAUUUAAAGAUUGACUCAAUCAACGUUGAAGAUGGACCCUUCAAGAACUUUCUGUACAAUUCUGGUACAACUUGGAUCUUCAAUGCGCCGCAUUCGUCCCACAUGGGUGGAGCCUGGGAGAGAAUGAUUGGUAUCACCAGGAGAAUUCUUGAUUCUAUGCUUCUAAAUGCAGCCGGAAGAAGCCUUACGCAUGACGUGCUUAACACACUAAUGGCAGAAGUUUCAGCAAUAGUGAACUCUAGACCUCUGGUACCGGUAUCAACAGAUCCAGAGAAUCCGUUAAUAUUAACUCCGGCUAUGUUAUUGACACAGAAAACCAACUACGUUUUCACUUCAGACCAUCUUGGGAAUUCGACAAACGAGAUCUCUGUCUUGCCGAAUGGAGACGAGUACAGGCUCUGGCCAGUGUUUUCUGGUCCCGUUGGAGGAAGGAAUGUACCUGCCGUUACUACAACAACGACGAAAAUGGACCGAAGAUCGCCGUGAUCUCAUCGAAGGAGACGUCAUUCUUCUAAAGGACAAAAACAUUUGCCGUACCCAAUGGCCCGUUGGAAUUAUAGUGAACUCAUUUAAAAGUUCAGACGAACAUGUCCGAAAAGCAGAAGUGCGAGUAAUCGUUAAUGGAAAAGCCACAACCUACACACGCCCUAUCGUGGACAUGAUUCUUCUCAUAGAGAACACUCCUGUGUAAAUAUAUGUAUAUAUCUCUGGAUUUAUAUAGUGACAUUCAUAUGUGUUAUAUCUUAUGGAAUAAUAGUGAUAUCAGGUAGAUUUCAGACGGGGAGUAUUCUGGAUCACAUCCGCAAUUAUAUUCACUGUAUAGUCUAUUUGAUUGGAUUUUUAGACAUCCGUAUUUUCCGGAAAUAAUCUGAACUUCUCCGUAUUUUCACUAGUGCUUACUUUCUCUUCCUCACCGGUCUAUUGCAAAUGGAUGCCACGACAAAACUGCUCCUGCGGAUAUUGUGACAAAUCACCGUCAAGUACGUUUCAAAUCAAUUAUAAACUGUUAAAUAUAUAUACCGUUAAUUCCGUUAACUUGAAUUCCACGUUUAUUCAACAAACACGAACUGUAAUUGUUUAUUUCUAUGAAUUGAACUGAGAAUUCUACUUUCGUUUUUGACUUGAUAUUAUUACGUUGCUUUGAACAUUCAUAUAUUUCUUUCGAGCAUAUGAUAAAAUAUUGUAUUUUUAUUUCUUUCAGUUUACCAAACAAUACACGCUCUGUAAAACUCCUGUAUCAUUUCUGGUGGAAUUAUAAUCUACAAUCUUCACCCACAAGUUGUUAUUCUUUAUAAUUUGCCGAGAUUGCGAUACAGUCCCUUGGUUAUACUAGCUGAGUCAGGCUCAGCAUA
rnacentral:lncRNA from 1 species